CUCUUUUUGAUUAUAAUUUUAAGUUGACUCUGCCCUAUGAUAAUUGAUUAAAUGGCUGCAGUAUUUUAACUGUACAAAGGUAGCAUAAUAAAUUGUUUUUUAAUUGAAAACUUGUAUGAAGGAGGUGAUAAAAUAUAAACUAUAUUAAAUUAAAUUAAUGAAAUUGUCUUUUAAGUUAAAAGACUUAAAUUUUUUUAAGGGACGAGAAGACCCUAUAGAAUUUUAUAUAAUUUUAUUUAUAUAAAAUAUAAGUUAUAUUUAUUUGGGAGGAAUAUUAAAAUUUUAAACUUUAAUUAAUUUUUUACAUAAUUUUAUGUUAUAAUAUUAAAGAUUUUAAGUUUUUAAGUAAAAGAUUAAAUUACCUUAGGGAUAACAGCAUAAUAUUUUUUGAUAGUUCUUAUAGAAAAAAAUGUUU
rnacentral:rRNA from 1 species